rnacentral:lncRNA from 1 species
AAUAAAUUAAAUAUAAUAAAUAUCUUAUUUUUGAAAUUUGAAACUUUUAUUCUUAGUUUUGAAAUGAUAAAUACUUAUCUUCUUAGUUAUGAAAUUUCCCCUUUUUCUUUUUCUUAUUUUGCUUGCUUUUUAUUUUUUUUAUUUUUUGGGUGAGAAUUGAGCUAUUGACGUAUGGAUGUAUAUAGUUCCUAGAAAUCACCAUGCAUUGGUUCCACUGCUAAUGGCUGCACCAGCCUACAUUAAGCAAAAAAAGGUUAUCCAUUUGACAAAAUUCAAAUUUCAUUUUCAGCCAUAUGUUUCAAUGGACAUAAAAAACUAAUCAAUUAUUUAUCACUCAUUUUUAUCUAUUUAUAAAUUUUUUGCAAAUUGUACAGUUUCAUCGUUACUAUACACCAAUGUUUGAGCUCCAUUUCUUUUUUUUUUUUGCAAAAAAUGCAUUUAGGAAUAGUAUUUUGAUGUAGAAUGUGUGGUUAAAAAAUAAAGAAAAAUUUUGAACUUGCAUGUAAUAUUAUUAAAUUAAAGAAUAUUUGAUUAAAAAUAAGAGAAAGAGAAAUGUAUUUUAGAAAUAAUGGGGACAAAACAAGGACUUAUGUUCCUAAAUU